rnacentral:rRNA from 1 species
GCAAGUCGAGCGGAAACGAGAAAUAGCUUGCUAUUUCGGCGUCGAGCGGCGGACGGGUGAGUAAUGCUUGGGAAUAUGCCCUUAGGUGGGGGACAACAGUUGGAAACGACUGCUAAUACCGCAUAAUGUCUACGGACCAAAGGAGGGGAGUCUUCGGAACCUUUCGCCUAUAGAUUAGCCCAAGUGAGAUUAGCUAGAUGGUGAGGUAAUGGCUUACCAUGGCGACGAUCUCUAGCUGGUUUGAGAGGAUGAUC